UAUGGUUAUGCCGGAACAAUUCUUUCAACGGUUUCCAGUCGCUCAUACCGAACCCAGGAUCAUGAGGUAAGCACUGGAAAUAACCAUGGGGCCUCACCUUGUUGUGUAGGUAGCCCAAUAAAAGAAUGGGGCUGAUGUUGUUUAAUGGUGAACUUAGCUAAAUCCUAACAGUGAAAUACAUUUCGUAACGAGUAUUUGAGCAAGACAUAAGAGCGAAAACGGCGACGACAAAAACGACAGCUAGAGCAGCAUGGGCGGCGGAGGGCACGACGGCGGCAACAGUGACAACAACAACAACAUUAACGAUAACAGCAACAACAACAACAGCACGUAAAA
rnacentral:lncRNA from 1 species